AACGGGCAGAACCAUGGUUACACAUGACGGACUCGAGUGGAGGACAGCAGCUGGGCCAGCCCUGCCUUCCACCUGUGGGCAGGUGGGGUGUCACAUCCUGGUCUAGCCCAGCGAGCUUCCUAUGUUUUUGAGUUCCCUUUUCUGUUUAUUAAGAUGGAGAAAUCCUAAAAUAAUCAGAAUAGCACUUGCAAAAAAGUAGUUUCAUUCUUAGAGAAAGCUGGGCCUGGCUAAGAAAGCUGGGCCUGGCUAAUGUAGGAAUUGUGGCGAUCUGAAUGAUGUCAGAGACAGGAACUGCAUCCCCACUGACCAGCGCCAUUUCCAAGCCUGUUUCCUCCUCUGCAGAGCGGUGCUGGGACAGCAGCUGGCUCCUAGGGUCACAGAACUCCCAAGAGUGUCUAGAAUGCACCUUACCCGGAAUACACCUCCCACAGCUUCUGGUUCAUCCGAUAAUCCCACACGGACACCAGGCCUUCCUCGCCUCCACUGACGAUCUUCCAGUCAUCCAUCUGCACAGCAGAGACCCUGAGCUGAUGGGCGGAGAGCGACAGGGCGAUGUUACCACUGCGGAGGUCAUGGAUCCUCACCCUGGACAGGCCCAAGAAGAGCAGAGAAGGGAAAUGGGAUUAGAGUCAAA